GACGAACCGUGCGAACGUUGUUCGGAUUCACUGGGCUUAAAGGGCGCGUAGGCGGACGAUCAAGUCAGGGGUGAAAUCUUUCAGCUCAACUGGAAAAGUGCCUUUGAUACUGAUCGUCUCGAGGGAGGUAGGGGCAUGUGGAACUUCCGGUGGAGCGGUGAAAUGCGUAGAUAUCGGAAGGAACGCCGGUGGCGAAAGCGACGUGCUGGACCUCUUCUGACGCUGAGGCGCGAAAGCUAGGGGAGCAAACGGG
rnacentral:rRNA from 1 species